GCGGUCCUCCCACCUUGGCCCCCCAAAGUGCUGAGAUUACAGAUGUGAGCCACCACACCCAGCCUGAACUACCAAUCUUGAUGGCAACGUUAGAUUGGGGGGCCUCUGUGGUCAUAACAGUGGUGGACCAGACAGCAGAGUCUUGUCUUCAGUACCAUGGAAACCCCGGCCUCCAGCGCUAGCAGGUGUUUUAGAAUGAAGGGUCAGAUGCUUGAGAGGGCGACCCCAAUCCUCUGCCCCUCCCUGCAGCUUCUGGGAAGGCCUCCUGCGUUUUUCAUCGCCUCUAGCAGCGUCUUGAAACAGCCGGCUCUGGAAGGCAUCCUGAUGGUGGGGUCAAGAGCUUUGCUUAGAUUUCCGCAUGAAGGUAUGCAAUGCAAAUGCCACCUUUUCUGAGCUAUGGUUUCGUUUUCUGCUGCAAACUUGGGACGUUUACUGAGGGACACUGAAUAGCUGGGGGUGGGUGGGGUGAGGGAGGCAGGGGCUAGAAGGAAGGAAGGAUUGUAGCAGGCAGGCUCUCUGGGACAGGGCAUAGGACAGAGACAGCUCCAGGAGGAUUUCACAGGAGAGAAUGAGGGGUGGGACGUAGUGAUGUCACAAGAGUCCCAUUAUGACCCCUCCCCCAUCAUUGGAGCUAGGACUGGCUAAGCCUGAGCAAGGGUGGGGGAAAUAAAUAAGGCACUGUUGCUAGGGCCUGAGCCCAGCAGAGAAAGGCUGUGUGCAGAGGGAGGGCCUCGGGUCCUGCUGCUCCUCCUGGACUCCUUCAUCCCAAUCCCUUCACAUCCUCCUCUAACAAGGACUCCCACAUCCCUCCCCGGCUAACUUGGAUCCUGCUCAACGCAACACCUGCCUUUCCUGAGUCCCUGGGUUCCUGCAGGCCUCGGGGCCCCACAGUUAUAUCUGCUGUUCCUGCAGCAGAGAGGUUGUACUGGGUUGAGAGAGAGGUCUCAGAAUCAAGACCUUGUCUCCUGCCACCGUUUACCCUGGUGAAGCUCCCAGGCCAAGCACAAACUUCCAGGUCGAACACAAACAGCCUUCAGCCGUCAGAGAGGAGGUGGCACUAACGCUCUAAGCAGGCGGCUGCUCUGUAGUCUUCUGCUGCCUGGAGAGGUUGCCUCCAUCACUGGUGCCCACCUGAGGAAUACUCAGUAACUACUCUUCAAAGGUACACUCAGAUGCCCACUCUGCAAAGCCAUUUUGUUUCCUUAAUGUACCUCUGAAAUCAUUUGUUAACAAAGCGUUUAUAAUUCCA